rnacentral:rRNA from 1 species
UGGUGGAGCGAUUUGUCUGGUUAAUUCCGAUAACGAACGAGACCUCAGCCUGCUAACUAGCUAUGUGGAUGUACAUCUCCACGGCCAGCUUCUUAGAGGGACUAUGGUCGUUUAGACUAAGGAAGUUUGAGGCAAUAAACAAGGUCGUGUGAUGCCCUUACGAUG